rnacentral:rRNA from 1 species
GAUGAACGCUAGCGAUAGGCUUAACACAUGCAAGUCGAGGGGCAGCGAGGGUAGCAAUACCUGUCGGCGACCGGCGCACGGGUGAGUAACGCGUAUGUAACCUGCCCGCAACAGGGGGAUAACCCGGCGAAAGUCGGACUAAUACCGCAUAAAACAGGGGUCCCGCAUGGGAAUAUUUGUUAAAGAUUUAUCGGUUGCGGACGGGCAUGCGUACCAUUAGGUAGUUGGUGAGGUAACGGCUCACCAAGCCUUCGAUGGUUAGGGGUUCUGAGAGGAAGGUCCCCCACACUGGUACUGAGACACGGACCAGACUCCUACGGGAGGCAGCAGUGAGGAAUAUUGGUCAAUGGGCGAGAGCCUGAACCAGCCAAGUCGCGUGAAGGAUGACUGCCCUAUGGGUUGUAAACUUCUUUUACAAGGGAAUAAAAUGAGAUACGUGUAUUUUAUUGCAUGUACCUUGGGAAUAAGCAUCGGCUAACUCCGUG